GGGGAGGCUGGGUUUGAUGGGCCUCCAGGGCCUCCUGGGACAGUGGGAGCCACUGGUUUCACAGGCCGUGUUGGCGCUCAGGGAGUUAACGGCUCACAGGUGAGGGGACAUUUUGACCCCCAGGAGAUGAGGGUCUUCCCAUAAUUUUUUUUAUUUAACUACUUUAUUGGGAGCUCUUUAUGAAUAUGUCAGCCUUCACCAAAGGUAGCCUGCAUUUACCUUCUAGGGAGAGUUGGGCCCUGUUGGAGUCAUCGGCCCCAGAGGCCCCCAGGUAAGGGGAAACGUUUGCUUGUUGUGUUUUCUUGCCUAAAGUUGGGUCACAUUUAACAGAACUCUAUGCUCGUAAGACUAUAAGGGAAAUAUUAUACACAUACUAUACACAUGUUUUAAAAUGACCUGUUUUCUGUUUAUUUCACCAGGGACCCCAGGGUUUAGAUGGCGAGAGUGGGCCUCCAGGACUCAGGGGAAUCCAGGGACAGCCUGGGAUGAGUGGUGCCCUUGGUCCGAAAGGUGAUCCUGGGCCUAUGGGGACAAUGGGUAUCCGGGGUGAGCCAGGGUUCGAGGGGCCCAUGGGGCCACUGGGAACACAAGGUCCAAAGGGUUUCCCUGGUAUUACUGGUAAGAGAGGACCAGACGGGGACAAAGGGGACCCUGGACCGAAGGGAGAGAGAUGUGUUCAGGGUGCUUCGGGCAUCCAAGGGCCUCAGGGAGAGAGUGGUCCUAGUGGCUUCCCUGGAUUUACAGGGCUCAAAGGUCAACCUGGCACUAAAGGCAUUGGGGGGGAGAAUGGAGAAACUGGCCCUCAGGGAAAACUGGGCAGAGAUGGGCUGAAGGGGAAUAGGGGACCAGAUGGGCGCAACGGCCAGCCUGGACACAGAGGGACCAAGGUAGGACACUCUAACUAUUGAAUGUGUUUAUGAGGGUUGGAAAAUUCUGGUAACUUUCACAAAAUGUCCAUGUUAUCCA
rnacentral:lncRNA from 8 species